rnacentral:rRNA from 1 species
AUUGAACGCUGGCGGCAUGCCUUACACAUGCAAGUCGAACGGCAGCACGUACUUCGGUCUGGUGGCGAGUGGCGAACGGGUGAGUAAUGUAUCUGAUCGUACCUUUCAUUGGGGGAUAACGUAGCGAAAGUUACGCUAAUACCGCAUAUUCUGUGAGCAGGAAUGCAGGGGAUCGAAAGACCUUGCGCUGAUUGCGCGGCCGAUAUCAGUUUAGCUAGUUGGUGGGGUAAAGGCCUACCAAGGCGACGAUCUGUAGCGGGUCUGAGAGGAUGAUCCGCCACACGGGAACUGAGACACGGUCCAGACUCCGACGGGAGGCAGCAGUGGGGAAUUUUAGGCAAUGGGGGAAACGCUGAUCCAGCAAAGCCGCGUGAGUGAAGAAGGACUUAGGGUUGUAAAGCUAUUUCGGCCGGGAAGAAAUCGCAUAGGCUAAGACCCUGUGUGGAUGACGGUACCGGAAUAAGAAGCACCGGCUAACUACGUG